rnacentral:tRNA from 1 species
AAGAUGUUAGUAAAGCAUUACACUGCCUUGUCAAGGCAGAAUCGCGAGUUAGACCCUCGCACAUCUUA